AGGCGAUGAAGGGCGUGCUAAUCUGCGAUAAGCGCCGGUAAGGUGAUAUGAACCGUUAUAACCGGCGAUACCCGAAUGGGGAAACCCAGUGUGACUCGUCACACUAUCAUUAACUGAAUCCAUAGGUUAAUGAGGCGAACCGGGGGAACUGAAACAUCUAAGUACCCCGAGGAAAAGAAAUCAACCGAGAUUCCCCCAGUAGCGGCGAGCGAACGGGGAGGAGCCCAGAGCCUGAAUCAGCAUGUGUGUUAGUGGAAGCGUCUGGAAAGGCGCGCGAUACAGGGUGACAGCCCCGUACACAAAAGCGCAUGUGCUGUGAGCUCGAUGAGUAGGGCGGGACACGUGGUAUCCUGUCUGAAUAUGGGGGGACCAUCCUCCAAGGCUAAAUACUCCUGACUGACCGAUAGUGAACCAGUACCGUGAGGGAAAGGCGAAAAGAACCCCGGCGAGGGGAGUGAAAAAGAACCUGAAACCGUGUACGUACAAGCAGUGGGAGCACCCUUUGGGUGUGACUGCGUACCUUUUGUAUAAUGGGUCAGCGACUUAUAUUCUGUAGCAAGGUUAACCGAAUAGGGGAGCCGGAGGGAAACCGAGUCUUAACCGGGCGUUAAGUUGCAGGGUAUAGACCCGAAACCCGGUGAUCUAGCCAUGGGCAGGUUGAAGGUUGGGUAACACUAACUGGAGGACCGAACCGACUAAUGUUGAAAAAUUAGCGGAUGACCUGUGGCUGGGGGUGAAAGGCCAAUCAAACCGGGAGAUAGCUGGUUCUCCCCGAAAGCUAUUUAGGUAGCGCCUCGUGAAUUCAUCUCCGGGGGUAGAGCACUGUUUCGGCUAGGGGGCCAUCCCGGCUUACCAACCCGAUGCAAACUGCGAAUACCGGAGAAUGUUAUCACGGGAGACACACGGCGGGUGCUAACGUCCGUCGUGAAGAGGGAAACAACCCAGACCGCCAGCUAAGGUCCCAAAGUCAUGGUUAAGUGGGAAACGAUGUGGGAAGGCCCAGACAGCCAGGAUGUUGGCUUAGAAGCAGCCAUCAUUUAAAGAAAGCGUAAUAGCUCACUGGUCGAGUCGGCCUGCGCGGAAGAUGUAACGGGGCUAAACCAUGCACCGAAGCUGCGGCAGCGACACUGUGUGUUGUUGGGUA
rnacentral:rRNA from 1 species